UACAUGGGGUGCAAACGUUGCUCGGAAUUAUUGGGCGUAAAGCGCGCGUAGGCGGUUAUCUAAGUCGGAUGUGAAAGCCCUCGGCUUAACUGAGGAAGUGCACCCGAAACUGGGUAGCUAGAGUACUAAAGAGGGUCGCGGAAUUCCCGGUGUAGAGGUGAAAUUCGUAGAUAUCGGGAGGAACACCGGUGGCGAAGGCGGCGACCUGGGUAGAUACUGACGCUGAGGCGCGAAAGCGUGGGGAGCAAACAGG
rnacentral:rRNA from 1 species